AAACCAGCACCUCAAGUGGUCAGGAUGAUUAUUGGGCCUAAAGCAUCCGUAGCCUGUUCUAUAAGUUUCCGGUUAAAUCCACUAGCUCAACUAGUGGGCUGCCGAAAAUACUGUAGAACUAGGGAGUGGGAGAGGUAGACGGUAUUCGGUAGGAAGGGGUAAAAUCCUUUGAUCUAUUGAGGACCACCUGUGGCGAAGGCGGUCUACCAGAACACGUUCGACGGUGAGGGAUGAAAGCUGGGGGAGCAAACCGGAUUAGAUACCCGAGUAGUCC
rnacentral:rRNA from 1 species